rnacentral:rRNA from 1 species
AUUGAACGCUGGCGGCAUGCUUAACACAUGCAGGUCGAACGGCAGCACAGCAGAGCUUGCUCUGUGGGUGGCGAGUGGCGGACGGGUGAGUAAUGCAUCGGGACCUACCCAGACGUGGGGGAUAACGUAGGGAAACUUACGCUAAUACCGCAUACGUCCUACGGGAGAAAGCGGGGGAUCGCAAGACCCCGUGCGGUUGGAUGGACCGAUGUGCGAUUAGCUAGUUGGUAAGGUAACGGCUUACCAAGGCGACGAUCGCUAGCUGGUCUGAGAGGAUGAUCAGCCACACUGGGACUGAGACACGGCCCAGACUCCUACGGGAGGCAGCAGUGGGGAAUAUUGGACAAUGGGCGCAAGCCUGAUCCAGCAAUGCCGCGUGUGUGAAGAAGGCCCUCGGGUUGUAAAGCACUUUUAUCAGGAGCGAAAUCUGCAAGGUUAAUACCUUUGCAGUCUGACGGUACCUGAGGAAUAAGCACCGGCUAACUCCGUGCCAGCCGCCGCCGUAA